rnacentral:rRNA from 1 species
UACGUAGGGUGCGAGCGUUAAUCGGAAUUACUGGGCGUAAAGCGUGCGCAGGCGGUUCGCUAAGACCGAUGUGAAAUCCCCGGGCUUAACCUGGGAACUGCAUUGGUGACUGGCGAGCUAGAGUAUGGCAGAGGGGGGUAGAAUUCCACGUGUAGCAGUGAAAUGCGUAGAGAUCGGGAGGAACACCAGUGGCGAAGGCGGCCUUCUGGACCAAUACUGACGCUCAUGCACGAAAGCGUGGGGAGCAAACAGG